GCCUAACACAUGCAAGUCGAGCGGUAACAGAGAGAAGCUUGCUUCUCUGCUGACGAGCGGCGGACGGGUGAGUAAUGCUUGGGAAUUUGCCUUUAGGAGGGGGAUAACCACGGGAAACUGUGGCUAAUACCGCAUAAUGUCUACGGACCAAAGUGGGGGACCUUCGGGCCUCACACCUAGAGAUGAGCCCAAGCGGGAUUAGCUAGUUGGUGGGGUAAAGGCUCACCAAGGCGACGAUCCCUAGCUGUUCUGAGAGGAUGAUCAGCCACACUGGGACUGAGACACGGCCCAGACUCCUACGGGAGGCAGCAGUGGGGAAUAUUGCACAAUGGGGGAAACCCUGAUGCAGCCAUGCCGCGUGUGUGAAGAAGGCCUUCGGGUUGUAAAGCACUUUCAGCGACGAGGAAGGGUGUUGUGUUAAUAGCGCAGCACAUUGACGUUAGUCGCAGAAGAAG
rnacentral:rRNA from 1 species